rnacentral:lncRNA from 1 species
UUAUCAAAAAAGAUAAAUAUACACUUAUAUCCCAAUGGUAAAUUAAUGAGUUUAGAGUUAAGGGGUGGGGUUUAGAAUUUAGGGUUUAGGGUUUAGGGUUUAGAGUUUAGGAUUUAGGGUUUAGAGUUCAGGGAUGGGGUUUAUGGUUUAGAGUUUAGAGUUAAGGGUGGAGUUUAGGAUUUAAGAUUUAGGGUUUAGGGUUUAGAGUUUAGGUUUUAGGGUUUAGAUUUGGGGAGUGGGGUUUUGGAAUAAUAUUUCAAAUUUAAAAAUAAAA